rnacentral:lncRNA from 1 species
AAACCUUGUCUUCCUUGGAGAACAUGGGGCCAAGUCCACCCACAAUGAAGCAUCAAGAAGGAAAUGAUAAUGCCUAAGGUUUAGCCACCUUCCUGGGUGCCCAGAGGGAGUGAGCAGGGGGCAGCCACACCCUAAAAAAACGAUAAUCAAGGACAGCCAAGAAGCCACAUCAUUUUUACAAAGAGGCAGUCUAAGGUCAAAAGCGGGGCUCACCUGCCCAUGUGCCAUGUAACUUUAGGCAAGUUCCUCACCCUCCUGCUUCUGAUGUCAUUUUUUUUCAUGCCUACCGUGGCAACCAUAAUGCUAGCAUCUGCCUAGAGGCUGGCUGCUGAGGCUUUUAGAGGUUAACACGGAGCCUCUGCCCAUAUCCCACAAUCUGGAGGAGCAAGAAUAUAUCAUAAGGUGAGGACAUAAACUUCUGACCUGCUGCAAGGGCUCCAGGAAGUCGUGCUCAGGAGAGGCGGUGGAUUAGGCCAGCCCUGGAGGAACUCAAAAGGAAUACCAGCCUCAGAUUGCAGCAUUUAAGAGCGACGUUCCCAAACACUUGAACACAGAAGGCUUUUCAUCCUCAGAGUCCAGCACAAGUGUUACCUAAUUAAUGUUCAACAAUGUUACCAAGCCUCCCUCUUUUAAGACGUAUCAACCUGGAAAGGUCUGGAAUUAAGGAUUUUGAUCUCGCAUGGAUUGCUUUCAUGUAUUUCGGGUAAUUCGCACAGCUGCUUAAAGAAAGAUAUUCAUCGACUAUAAACAGCCCCAAGUUUGAGCAGCUACACAAAUAAACCUUCUCUUAUCUCUCCUGGCAGCUUUCCUUUGCCUGCUUGGGCAGUGAAGGGAUCAAAACUGCUCCCCGACAGACUGAUUCAAUGAGCACAUGGCCUCUAAAGUGAAUCACUCUUCAGCCAGGCAGAAUAAACUCCCAGCUUGAGAUCCUCA